rnacentral:snRNA from 1 species
AUGCUCCCUUCAGCAGCACAUACACUCAAAUUGGAAUGAUACAGAGCUUAGCAUGGCCCCUGCACAAAGAUGACACACAAAUUCAUGAUGUAUUUCAUAUUUUU